CCUCGCUCUCUUACUGUUAUUUUAAUUUUCCCCGGUAGUGUGUUGAGAGCCGUGUGCUAUUGCUGAGUGUCAGGAUGCGCAAUUUACCUUAAGGAAAACACAGCAAUAAAAAAGUAAAGCAAGGAGGAGAAGGAUAGGAGAUGGAUAAGAGAUAACUUAUCUUUAGCAUGCUCUUUCUUCUCUCACACUCCAUCUUUUUGCAAACGUCUUUCACAUUCGAACAACUUCAAGAGGCUGUCAGUAAGAACGUGGAGUUUGAAAUCCAAGAGGUGAAGCAAGACUGAUGCUGUCUGCUCUGUUGUCCAGAUAGAGUCUGGGAUAUCAGAUGAUCUAAGGGGCUCUGCUACGGCCUGCAAGCGCUUAGUGGUUUUCGAUGGGUCGCUAUGGACAUGACUGCAAAGUCAUAGCUCAGCCAAGUGUCGAAGGCCCUGCCUUUAGAGAGGAAAGACAUCUUUGGAAAAGAGAAGCAGAGAGGCAAAAUGGGUAAGUUAUGCUUCCGAUAUGCUGUGUUUCUCCUUUCCUAUUUGGAUGCUUUGAAAUCCAACAUUCUCUCUCGGCAUUCAUGACAUUUACAGCUCAUUAUUGUAUUGUGGCCUAAAUACAAAACUACUCUUUUGCGAGCAGAGCAUAUUUGAUUAUACCCCACAAAUAAUACGAAGCGAUAACAGCAUGCUGCUUUCUCACGUCUUACUAUUUCAGCUUUGUUGAACCACCGCAACACACACGUGAACACACAUGCACGCUGUUGCUGGGUAGAUUUUGGUGGGCGCUGUUCAAUACGGAAUAUUGCAGGUGCUCUCCAUUAGCUCUAUUCUUGUACUUUUAUGAACCUCCUUGCACACACACAUCCACACACCCCUAUACACACAUGCACCCCUGCAGCAGUGGCAGGAUUCUGUGGACCCUGCAGAACUCUUUUGUUCGGGCCACUCUCAAGGUGUCUUUCAGCAUGCUGGCAAAGACCCACUAACAUACUUUCAGCAACUUGGCAACAGCUUCAAAGUCAGACGUCUCAUUUAAAUUCUGGCGGAGGGAGGUGAAGGAGAAAGCAAACUUCAGACAGUGUCUUCAAAUUGAAAUUGGGCAGCUCGCACUACGAGUCUACAAGUGUUACCGUACUUACUUGCUCAGACUUGUACUGCAGGAUAGCGCUACUGACAUUAGUUGGGAUGUCUUUAAAUCUGGUGGUUGUCGUUAAUAAUCAAUUAAUCAUAAAAUUAGAAAUAUGAAUAGUUAUUUUUUAAAGCCCUGCUUUAAAUACACACAGACCUGUUUUAAUGAAGUAGCCUUAGUAUGCAAAAAAUGUCAUUUAGAUUUUUUUUUUUUCCUAUAAAUCAAAAUCUUAUUAAGUCACAAAAAAAGAAUGAAUCUUUUUGCAUCCUUAUUUUAUUUGAAUUCUUUUGGAAGACUUGUUUUGCAAGAUUGUGCCUUUUUAAGUCCAUGUCCUCCUUAAAUCACACAAAAAAGAAUCAACCCUUUUGGGUCACCACAAUCCAAUUACUUUGCUUGAUGACUGCCCAUUCACAUUCAUUCCUGUUUCACAAGUGGUAAAAAAAAAAAAAAUCAGCUCCUUUUCAAUGUUUUUCUCAUUUCACUUGCAUCUUAUUCAUGCUCUGCUGCGUGGGUCUUUAAAUGCUACAUAAAGUUUUCCAGCAACCACUAAUGCAACUGCUAUCUCUCUUGGUAAGGAAAAUAAUUAGACAUACGGUUUCAUAAACAUUUUUUUUCACAAUCUGUUACGCCGAUGGAAGUAUGAAUUCCUGUGCUCGCAGCCCCAAACCCGUAGAUCCGAACUUGUGUUAAUUGACACCACAAGCUUGUAUCUACAGGUCUGCGUCUGUGUAGCUCCAACAACCUGAGCAGCAUCACCUUAAUAUUCUCCACAUCCGACCUAGAAAUUAUUAACAUGAACACUGUAAGAAUCAAAACCUUUCAUUUGUAUGCCAACUUUUUUUCCCUGAUCUGCUAAUAAUAUUGACAUAUCCACCUGCGGAUCUAACUUGUGUAUAGUAUUACACAGGUUUUGGACCAUCACUAGGUUUUGUGGCUUUAAUGGGCUGUUUCACAGCGUCUAUUUUAGUAUAAUGUAGCAGCAAGCAAUAAGUUACUGUGGUCACAAAAAAAAAAAAAAAAAAAAAAAUCCUCAGUUUUUUCACACAUAAUGUUGGCAUGCCAUUCUGCUUGCCUCCAGGUUGAGGUAGUAGGUUGUAUAGUUGAGAAUUACACCAUGGGAGAUAACUGUACAACCUGCUAGCUUUCCCUGCGGCAUGCUCGACACCCAUGUAGAUGGACAAUUAACAUUAAAAAUACAGAACAUCAAUAUAUGAUACGGCAUGGUUAAUAUAAAUCCAGGCUUCAAUUCUUAAUGCCUAGUAUUUGGAAAAAAAAAAAAAAAAAAAAAAAAUCAUCAUAAUUGGUGAAAUUUCAACAAUUGCAAAUGCUUGAGGUUUUUUUUUUUACAUUGUUGCAAAGCUGACAUGAAUAUUUAUUCGCUUCCACUCCAUAUUAACAUUCGAUUGUGUUUUGUUGAUUUACAUAGUCAUUUAAACUUGGUGGAAAUGUGCUAUCAUGUUGCUUUUUGUGGGAUGACUUAACAUUUUGACAUAUAACUACGGAGAGACAUUUGCGAGAUGAAUACCAAUAAAGGGAAUAAAGAAAUGUACAGCAAGUUAGAAGAUGAAAAUAAGCUUAUGGAAAAUACUUGUUACAAUAUAUCAUUUUAAAAAAUUAUUAUUUUAGCGGCAACAAAACAUCAUUGGCAGCAGUAAAAACAAUCAUGUCAAAGUCACUCAGUAAUUUCUAGAAAAUCAUAUCCAAACCACAAUUAAAAAAAAAAAAAAUCUUCUCUUUUUUUCCCCCCUUUUCAGAGAUACAAAACCCGUAGGAAUUCUCUCUUCUUCUAAUACUGAAUCUUGAAAACAUAAUAAAGGAUAUCUGCCACCGCUAUUGGUCAUCAGUCUUUUUUGGGGGACUUAUGUCCAGCUGAUUGCAGGAACAAAAGACUGACCCCUGUUGGUCAACAUAAUUAAGUGUACAACAGUGGGUGUUACUGCAUGUAUGUGUCAUUUAAAGCCAUUUGAAAGAAAAGAAUAACCUGCAGUUUGAAUUACUGCUCUUGUUGGUGUGUUAUAAUGUAGUAAGAGCCAUUCAUGUUGCUACUCUCUUCAUAAUUUGCCCCCCUCCCCAAGUUUCAAAUGAAAAAAUUGUGUGUUGCCUGCAUGACUCAUGCAUUUAAUGUAUGUAUUUGUAUUAUUUCAAAAGAAUUUAUGCAUUGUGAUUUGCAGAUGACUAGUCCAGAAUGUACCCUGCCUCUUCUCAAAGUGAGCUGGGAUAUACUCCAGCUAACCAGCAACCCCAGUGAGGAUAAGCGUUAAAUAAAAUGGAAGGAUGGAAGAAAUUUUUAUGUUUUAUUCAUGAGAUGAUGUACUUCCUUUCUCGGACCUUUUUGGGGUGAGAAACCACAUUUGGCCACCUGCAGGAAUACACACUGCUGGCCAAAAGUAUUGGCACCCCUGCAAUUCUGUCAGAUAAUGCUCAAUUUCUCCCAGAAAAUGAUUGCAAUUACAAAUGCGUUGGUAGUAAUAUCUUCAUUUAUUUUGCUUGCAAUGAAAAAACACAAAAGAAAAUGAAAAAAAAAUUAUUAUCAUUUCAUACAAAACUCCAAAAAUGGUAUUGGCACCCUCAGCCUAAUACUUGGUAGCAAAACCUUUAGACGAAAUAACUGUGAACAACCGCUUCUGGUAUCCAUCAAUAAGUUUCUUACAAUGCUCUGCUGAAAUUUUAGAACAUUCUUCUUUGCCAACUGCUCCAGGUCUCUAAGAUGUGAAGGGUGCCUUGUCCAAACUGCCAUUUUCAAAUCUCUCAACAGGUGUUCUAUGGGAUUCAGGUCUGGACUUAUGCUGGCCACUUUAGACGUCUCCAGUGCUUGCUCUCAAAUCAUUUUCUAGUGCUUUUGGAAGUGUGUUUUGGGUCAUUGUCCUGCUGGAAGACCCAUGACCUCUGAGGGAGACCCAGCUUUCUCACACUGAGCCCUACAUUAUGCUGCAAAAUUUGUUGAUAGUCUUCAGACUUCAUAAUGCCAUGCACACGGUCAGGCUGUCCAGUGCCAGAGGCAGUAAAGCAACUCCAAAACAUCAGGGAACCUCCGCCAUGUUUGACUGUGGGGACCGUGCUCUUUUCUUUGAAUGCUUCAUUUUUUCCCCUGUAAACUCAAUGUUGAUGCUUUUUCCCAAAAAGCUCUACUUUUGUCUCAUCUGACCAGAGAACAUUCUUCCAAAACGUUUUUGGCUUUCUCGGGUGAGUAUUGGCAAACUCCAGCCUGGCUUUUUUAUAUCUCUGGGUCAGAAGUAGGGUCUUCAUGGGUAUCUCACUGUAGAGUCCCUUUUCAUUCAGACGUCGGCGGAUAGUACGGGUUGACACUGUUGUACCCUCGGACUCCAGGACAGCUUGAAUUUGUUUGGAUGUUAGUCGAGGUUCUUUAUCCACCAUCCGCACAAUCUUUCGUUGAAAUCUCUCGUCAAUUUUUCUUUUCUGUCCACAUCUAUAGAGGUUAGGCACAAAGCCAUGGGAUUUACACUUAUUGAUGAAACUGCGCACGGUAGACACAGAAACAUUCAGGCCUUUGGAGAUGGACUUGUGGCGUUGAAAUUGUCUAUGCUUCCUCACAAUUUUGCUUCUGAAGUCCUCAGACAGUUCUUUGGUCUUCUUUUUUUUCUCCAUGCUCAAUGUGGUACACAGAAGGACAUGGGACAAAGGUUGAGUUAACUUUAAUCCAUUUUAACUGGCUGCAAGUGUGAUGUAGUUAUUGCCACCACCUGUUAUGUGCCACAGGUAAGUAAGAGGUGCUGUUAAUUACAAAAAUUAGAGAAGCAUCACGUGAUUUUUCAAAAGGUGCCAAUACUUUUGUCCGAGUUUUGUGUUAAAUGACAAUGAUUUAUUUUUUUCCCCAUUCUCUUUUGUGUUUUUUUUUU